GAGUUCAAUCAGAAGAGAAGGGCCAGGACUGGUGAUUCCACCCUCAUCCCCUGCCUUCCCAUUCCUGUUGCAGCAGUGAAAUCCAAGUGUGGUUUGCAGAAGAGGAUGACCCCUGGAUGCAGAGCCCAUUGUAAUGAACAGGCAAUUGGAGAUUUCUCAUCUCCUUUGUGAAAAAAGUUUCUAAAGGUCAGGGAAUACGAAACUAUGUCAUAUAAGGAUGAAUCAAAGAGACUGGGACACAUUUACCUGGGAGAUGCGAAGAUAGGAAAGCUGUCUUCAACCAUCUGAAGGGCUGUCAUCUGGAAGACAUAUUAGAUUUAUGUGGCUCCAGAAGAAAGAACCAGGAUCAAUAGAUAGAAGUUACAGGGAAGAAGAAUUUUGGAUCAAUAUAAGGAAGAACCUCCAAAUAAUUAGAACUGUCAGAAAUUGGAAUGAAUUGUCUCAGGAGGUAGUGAAUUCCCUAUCACUGAAGCUGUUGAGGCAGAUGAUGGA